rnacentral:rRNA from 1 species
GCAGUCGAGCGGAUGAAGGAGCUUGCUCCUGGAUUCACGGCGGACGGGUGAGUAAUGCCUAGGAAUCUGCCUGGUAGUGGGGGACAACGUUUCGAAAGGAACGCUAAUACCGCAUACGUCCUACGGGAGAAAGCAGGGGACCUUCGGGCCUUGCGCUAUCAGAUGAGCCUAGGUCGGAUUAACUAGUUGGUGAGGUAAUGGCUCACCAAGGCGACGAUCCGUAACUGGUCUGAGAGGAUGAUCAGUCACACUGGAACUGAGACACGGUCCAGACUCCUACGGGAGGCAGCAGUGGGGAAUAUUGGACAAUGGGCGAAAGCCUGAUCCAGCCAUGCCGCGUGUGUGAAGAAGGUCUUCGGAUUGUAAAGCACUUUAAGUUGGGAGGAAGGGUUGUAGAUUAAUACUCUGCAAUUUUGACGUUACCGACAGAAUAAGCACCGGCUAACUCUGUGCCAGCAGCCGCGGUAAUACAGAGGGUGCAAGCGUUAAUCGGAAUUACUGGGCGUAAAGCGCGCGUAUGUGGUUUGUUAAGUUGGAUGUGAAAUCCCCGGGCUCAACCUGGGAACUGCAUCCAAAACUGGCAAGCUAGAGAUGGUAGAGGGUGGUGGAAUUUCCUGUGUAACG